GACAGAGGCCUCAAGCGUUAGGCGGAAUCACUGGGCUUAAAGCGUGUGUAGGCGGAUCGUUAAGUGUCUUGUGAAAUCCCACGGCUCACCCGUGGAACUGCUGGGCAUACUGGCGAUCUUGGGCCAACUAGGGGCAGCCGGAACAAGCGGUGGAGCGGUGAAAUGCGUAGAUAUCGCGUGGAACGCCGAAGGUGAAAACAGGCUGCUGGGGUUGCGCCGACGCUGAGACACGAAAGCCAGGGGAGCAAACGGG
rnacentral:rRNA from 1 species